UCAUCUAAUUUCAAGCUUAUAGUUGGAAAACAAAUCAAGAUGAACAAAUACUGCAAGAGAGGAAGAAGUCUGUUCUGCGGAUUGUUAAUGAAUUCUUUUGGCUUGCAUUAGUGGAAAUGAAGUCUCUGAACACUGCUGAUGUGACACUGGAGAGCUACUCUUUGUAUCCUCAGUUUUGGAUAAAGAAUGUGGCAUUCAUGAAGAACAGAGAUUUGUCUAAUGUCACAUGUCUGGUAGGCACUCCACCACAGGUAGGCUCAUCCUCCUGUUUCGACAACAUGCAUGAAGCCGCCACAAACCUGAGUUUGGUGUCACAUGCUGGUGACCUCAGCACAUGAGAGAUGGAGAUAAUGGAAUUGCCGUUUCAAGUCUAGCCUGGGCUACACAAUGAGAGACACUUUUAAAAAAUCACCUAUCUAUACCAGAUAUAAAAAUAAAUAAUAAUGUUUCAAAAGCAAUAACUUAUAAUCUCCUCUGUUUUCACCUAAACUUCAUUGUCUGCUACAGUCAAUGCCAUUGUGCUGUUCAGUCUAUAACGCUGAAAAUGACAAACAUUCUGUCUUUCCAUGUAUUCUGAGCUCCAUGUCCAGCACAGUAUCUGGAGUCAGACAGGAAAGCAGGCUUACUUCUCAUGGAAGUCAGCAGGCUGAAUUAUCAACAGUUCCAACUUCUGACCCUUCUUACGACUUGGUGUCUCUAAAUUACCUUCAGAAGGCCAAAGGAAUUGAAGAAAGAAUGGGAAAUGCUAUUUUCAAGGAGAAAACAUUCUAUUUAUUUAAUUCUUACUUUGUUUUAGUGGUAAUAUAUAUGCAAAUCAUUUACUUUUAAGUUUCGCCCUGCAGUCAUAACUGUGUGUGUCGCGUCUUUCAAGUAUGGUGUGAUGUUUGGGUAUCCGUGUACAACGUGGAAUGGGCUUUCUUGUGUAUUUACUUUUGUGCUUUAGCUGACCUGUGGUUUGUUCUUCAUCCUUCUGCUCGCCGCAAUGACUCCUCUUUUCCAUUUCAUUCACUUUUAAUACAUCAUUAGCCAUCCGUUGACCAGUCAGACACUUGGCUUUUAUUUAAUCCCUGUGCUCUUAAUUACAGAAUCACACUUACCACACUGAGAGCAGGAUGUAGUGCCAGAUGGCCCAGGACGGUCUUUGGACUGUCCUGGUUGGGUCGCCAGCAGCACCCGGGGAGCCUUUUGUUCUUCAUGUGGGGAUUUUAUACGGCUUUGUUUAGAAUAAAGUAACUGAGCUCAAAAUAUUGGCAGAAAUCCACAUGGUGUUCUUACAGAGAGGAGCGGGCAUGCGAUUACAGUGUAAAUAAAUCUCUGGCUCAACUUCUAAAUUCAGGAUGUGUCCUUUCUCUGGUGCUGUGGAUUGACUGACUUUAAAAACUUUCAGUUUCGGAGCUGACUGUCUCCUGCAAAAAUGUCUGUCGAGAUCCUUGUACGCUGAAAAAGAUGGAAAACUGAUGAAUGAGAAUAAAUCCCCUAUCAAGUGUGGUCUAAUCCAGGCUGGAAGGAUUAAACCAAAAUAAUUAGCAAAAAUCACACAGCAAUGGUCAAAGAGAGGGCGCCAUCUACAGCCUUGUUUCGGGAGUUUCAAGGCAAAAAAGAAAAUAAAUCUCAUCAGCUUGAGAGUCAAAUUGCAGAAUU